GCUAUCACUCCUACGGGAGGCAGCAGUAGGGAAUCUUCCACAAUGGGCGCAAGCCUGAUGGAGCAACACCGCGUGAGUGAAGAAGGGUUUCGGCUCGUAAAGCUCUGUUGUUAAAGAAGAACACGUAUGAGAGUAACUGUUCAUACGUUGACGGUAUUUAACCAGAAAGUCACGGCUAACUACGUGCCAGCAGCCGCGGUAAUACGUAGGUGGCAAGCGUUAUCCGGAUUUAUUGGGCGUAAAGAGAGUGCAGGCGGUUUUCUAAGUCUGAUGUGAAAGCCUUCGGCUUAACCGGAGAAGUGCAUCGGAAACUGGAUAACUUGAGUGCAGAAGAGGGUAGUGGAACUCCAUGUGUAGCGGUGGAAUGCGUAGAUAUAUGGAAGAACACCAGUGGCGAAGGCGGCUACCUGGUCUGCAACUGACGCUGAGACUCGAAAGCAUGGGUAGCGAACAGGAUUAGAUACCCUGGUAG
rnacentral:rRNA from 1 species